UUUCCGUAGGUGAACCUGCGGAAGGAUCAUUAUUGUAUAACCGAGGUGCGAGGGCUGUCGCUGACCCGAAAGGUCGUGCACGCCCGAGUGCUCUCACACACAUCCAUCUCACCCCUAUGUGCACCACCGCGUGGGUCCCCCUUUGGCUUGUUCGGAGGGGGGCUUACGUUUUCACACAAACUUUGUAUGCAGUGUAGAAUGUAUUUUUUGUUUUUACGAUCACGCAAUCAAUACAACUUUCAACAACGGAUCUCUUGGCUCUC
rnacentral:misc_RNA from 1 species